GGUCCUGUGGUGUAGUGGUUAUCACGUCUGCUUCACACACAGAAGGUCUCCGGUUCGACCCCGGGAGAGAUCU
rfam:Angiostrongylus cantonensis strain Taiwan genome assembly, scaffold: ACAC_scaffold0003779